UAGUCCACGCCCUAAACGAUGUCAACUAGCUGUUGGGGCCUUCGGGCCUUGGUAGCGCAGCUAACGCGUGAAGUUGACCGCCUGGGGAGUACGGUCGCAAGAUUAAAACUCAAAGGAAUUGACGGGGACCCGCACAAGCGGUGGAUGAUGUGGAUUAAUUCGAUGCAACGCGAAAAACCUUACCUACCCUUGACAUGUCUGGAAUUCCGAAGAGAUUUGGAAGUGCUCGCAAGAGAACCGGAACACAGGUGCUGCAUGGCUGUCGUCAGCUCGUGUCGUGAGAUGUUGGGUUAAGUCCCGCAACGAGCGCAACCCUUGUCAUUAGUUGCUACGAAAGGGCACUCUAAUGAGACUGCCGGUGACAAACCGGAGGAAGGUGGGGAUGACGUCAAGUCCUCAUGGCCCUUAUGGGUAGGGCUUCACACGUCAUACAAUGGUCGGGACAGAGGGUCGCCAACCCGCGAGGGGGAGCCAAUCCCAGAAACCCGAUCGUAGUCCGGAUCGCAGUCUGCAACUCGACUGCGUGAAGUCGGAAUCGCUAGUAAUCGCGGAUCAGCAUGUCGCGGUGAAUACGUUCCCGGGUCUUGUACACACCGCCCGUCACACCAUGGGAGUGGGUUUUACCAGAAGUAGUUAGCCUAACCGUAAGGGGGGCGAUUACCACGGUAGGAUUCAUGACUGGGGUGAAGU
rnacentral:rRNA from 1 species